GGGCUUGUAAGACAUGCUUACUGAGUCCACCAGGAGAAGGUAUCGAGAUUUAGUGAUCGACAAAUCUGUUCCUGGACGUAUAACGACAUUUAGGUCUUGUCUCCACUCAUGCUAACGAUGUUUGACAUACAACGCCUGUGGUCACUGCCUUAUCAACUGACAGUCUGACAUGUCUCACCCGAGAAAGGCCGCUCAGAAAUGUUGGCAGUCCUUGCUGAAUAAGCUGGAAUCCCUAUUCCGGAGACAUACUGGAAGAGAACAUCCCCAGGGAUUAUCUUACGAUUAUUUCUGUUUCUAAAGCUACUGUUGUGAUCACAUCUAGGACUCAUCCGCGCAAAGUCGCUUACGGUCUUCUUCGUGAUGUGGAGAAACUAGAAACGACUGUGUAUAUGUGCUAGAAGAGUAACUUAGUAUUCUAUGUACUGUUUUCAUACUUCUCUUUGAAAAAUCAUUUUUCAAAAAGUAGAACGUGCAGUGUCUGAUGUCAUUGAAAAUCCCAGCAGCCCCGCACUUGACCCUGGUUCCGCAAACGUGCCGCUAGCACCCUCUUCUUGAUGUUGUGACGUACAUACCACGUGGUGCGACGGACCCGAAACUUCUUGAACUGUCAAAAUAGAACUGUUUUGAAUCUGAACUCUACCCUGGAAUUGUGCAAGGUGGGAGAAACUGAGACUCAACAGUUCAAAACGUUGAACAUCCAAGAUGAUACCUGGACAAGCAACCUGAUGACUUUUGAUGUCAGAUUAUUACAGCUCAUUAUCUGUGUUCUCCCUGUUUUUGGAACUCUUAUAUAUAUACCAGAAGGAAUAUAAAAGAAGAACAUAAACAGAACACUUUGCAUCUCGUCGAAUGAAUAGUUACAGUAAAAAGUCAGUGGAUGCUUGUAUUGCUUCUGGUGAUUCCUGCAGGAAGAGUCCUCUCAUAGAGGCCAUUCCUGGUGCCCCUGCCCCUGGAUGGUGUGUGGACCUCAAUGACUAGGACCUGCCACUGUUUUGGAUACACUUGACUGCUGCAACUACAUGCAUGGU